UUCCAAAGAAUACCUCACUGGUUGUGUCAUAUACAAGAAAAUUUUGAAUUGUUUCCACAAUUAAGACACUGACUCCUAAUCAAGUGUGUUAACCAUGUGUUGGCGAUACAGUGAUGAAUUACACAGACAUUGACUGCAUCAGUUUGAUAUAAAUAAGUAACCCAUGUUACGAUGGAGAACCAUCUCCACUGCAUGCCUGAAAAUAACUCUACAACUCCUUUUAAUAUAUUUAAGCCCAUGAAGCGAUCUGUCAACUGGAUUUUUUUCCUUGGAGACCUCUCCAUCCUCCUGCUCUGAUCUGGAAGCAUUGCUCUCUAAGCCUGCUGCAGGUGUGUCCUCCUGGAAGUUUCCUUCACCUUCAAAGUGAAAGUACCCUUUCCCCCUUUCUUAUGUGGAAUUCUCCUUCUCCUGGCUCCUGGAUCUCCUUUGUUCUUGGCUUAUUCCCUGAUUAAUCACCCUCCAUAACUUCCUGAGAAAAUAAAAUAUGUUGAAGAAUCAUUUUCACAAAGGCAAAAUUAUGACUUAUGGAAACAGAAAAUGAAUACAUGUCAAAGUCAGAUGUC